rnacentral:rRNA from 1 species
CCCCCCUCCAAUCAGUGAAACUGAUCUCCCCGUGAAGAAGCGGGGAUACAAAUAUAAGACGAGAAGACCCCAUGGAGCUUUAAACCCAACAGCACCCGUUUAUUUUCAUCCUCACAUAAGUUAGGUUAUGCCUGUUUGGUUUUAGGUUGGGGUGACCACGGAGUAUAAAACAACCUCCAUGAAAAAAGGACCAAAAAUCCUUAUUAGAGAAAGACAUUUCUAAAAUUAAUAAAUUAAUUUUUAAUGAUCCGAUAUUCGAUCAACGAACCAAGUUACCCUGGGGAUAACAGCGCAAUCCACUUCAAGAGCUCCUAUCGACAAGUGGGUUUACGACCUCGAUGUUGGAUCAGGGUAUCCUAGUGGUGCAGCAGCUACUAACGGUUCGUUUGUUCAACGAUUAAAACCCU